rnacentral:rRNA from 1 species
CCCUUAGAUGUUCUGGGCCGCACGCGCGCUACACUGAUGCAUUCAACGAGCCUAUCCUUGACCGACAGGUCCGGGCAAUCUUUGAAUCUGCAUCGUGACGGGGAUAGAUUAUUGCAAUUAUUAAUCUUCAACGAGGAAUGCCUAGUAGGCGCAAGUCAUCAGCUUGCGUCGAUUACGUCCCUGCCCUUUGUACACACCGCCCGUCGCUCCUACCGAUUGGGUGUGCUGGUGAAAUGUUCGGAUCGGCCGUUUGUCGCGGUUUCCGCGUCAUGUGGCUGAGAAGUUCAUUAAACCCUCCCACCUAGAGGAAGGAGAAGUCGUAACA